AACGAACGCUGGCGGCAGGCUUAACACAUGCAAGUCGAACGCCCUCUUCGGAGGGAGUGGCAGACGGGUGAGUAACGCGUGGGAAUCUACCUAGUGGUACGGAAUAACCGAGGGAAACUUCGGCUAAUACCGUAUAAGCCCUUCGGGGGAAAGAUUUAUUGCCAUUAGAUGAGCCCGCGUCGGAUUAGCUAGUUGGUAGGGUAAUGGCCUACCAAGGCGACGAUCCGUAGCUGGUCUGAGAGGAUGAUCAGCCACACUGGGACUGAGACACGGCCCAGACUCCUACGGGAGGCAGCAGUGGGGAAUAUUGGACAAUGGGCGAAAGCCUGAUCCAGCCAUGCCGCGUGAGUGACGAAGGCCUUAGGGUGUAAAGCUCUUUUAGCAGGGACGAUAAUGACGGUACCUGCAGAAUAAGCCCCGGCUAACUUCGUGCCAGCAGCCGC
rnacentral:rRNA from 1 species